rnacentral:rRNA from 1 species
GAUGAACGCUGGCGGCGUGCCUAAUACAUGCAAGUCGAGCGAACAUAUGUGGAGCUUGCUCCUCUGACGUUAGCGGCGGACGGGUUAGUAACACUUGGAUAACCUUCCUAUAAGACUGGGAUAACUUCGUGAAACCGGAGCUAAUACCGGAUAAUAUAUUGAACCGCAUUGUUCAUUAGUGAACUACGGUUUUGCUGUCCCUUAUAGAUGGAUCCGCGCCGCAUUAGCUAGUUGGUAAGGUAACGGCUUACCAAGGCAACGAUGCGUAGCCGACCUGAGAGGGUGAUCGGCAAAACAGGAACUGAGACACGGUCCAGACUCCUACGGGAGGCAGCAGUAGGGAAGCUUACGAAAUGAGCGAAAGCCUGACGGGGCAAAGCCGCGUGAGUGAUGAAGGUCUUAGGAUCGUAAAACACUGUUAUUAGGGAAGAACAAAGGAGGAAGUAACUAUGCACGGCUUGACGGUACCUAAGCAGAAAGCCACGGCUAACUACAUA